rnacentral:rRNA from 1 species
UACGGGGGGGGCAAGCGUUGUUCGGAAUUACUGGGCGUAAAGGGCUCGUAGGCGGCCAUCUAAGUCGGACGUGAAAUCCCCAGGCUCAACCUGGGAACUGCGUCCGAUACUGGAUGGCUUGAAUUCGGGAGAGGGAUGCAGAAUUCCAGGUGUAGCGGUGAAAUGCGUAGAUAUCUGGAGGAAUACCGGUGGCGAAGGCGGCAUCCUGGACCGACAUUGACGCUGAUGAGCGAAAGCUAGGGGAGCAAACGGG